UGGGGGAUAUUGCACAAUGGGCGAAAGCCUGAUGCAGCGACGCCGCGUGGGGGAUGAAGGCCUUCGGGUUGUAAACUUCUUUUGCUCUUAACAAGGCAUGCCUUCGGGGUGUGUUGAGUGUAGGGGUUGAUUAGCGCCGGUUAACUACGUGCGAGCAGCAGUGGUCAUACGUAGGGCGCGAGCGUUGUCCGGAAUUAUUGUGCGUAAAGGGCUUGUAGGUGGCUGGUUGCGUCUGUCGUGAAAGCUCAUGGCUUAACUGUGGGGUUGCGGUGGGUACGGGCUGGCUUGAGUGCAGUAGGGGAGUCUGGAAUUCCUGGUGUAGCGGUGCAAUGCGCAGAUAUCAGGAGGAAUACCGGUGGCGAAGGCGGGUCUCUGGGCUGUUACUGACGCUGAGGAGCGAAAGCGUGGGGAGCGAACAGG
rnacentral:rRNA from 1 species